rnacentral:rRNA from 1 species
GAUGAACGCUGGCGGCGUGCCUAAUACAUGCAAGUCGAGCGAACAGAUAAGGAGCUUGCUCCUUUGACGUUAGCGGCGGACGGGUGAGUAACACGUGGGUAACCUACCUAUAAGACUGGGAUAACUUCGGGAAACCGGAGCUAAUACCGGAUAACAUUUGGAACCGCAUGGUUCUAAAGUGAAAGAUGGUUUUGCUAUCACUUAUAGAUGGACCCGCGCCGUAUUAGCUAGUUGGUAAGGUAACGGCUUACCAAGGCGACGAUACGUAGCCGACCGGAGAGGGUGAUCGGCCACACUGGAACUGAGACCCGGUCCAGACGCCUACGGGAGGCAGCAGUAGGGAAUCUUCCGCAAGGGGCGAAAGCCUGACGGAGCAACGCGGCGUGAGUGAUGAAGGGUUUCGGCUCGUAAAACUCGGUUAUUAGGGAAGAACAAACGUGUAAGUAACUGGGCACGUCUUGACGGUACCUAAUCAGAAAGCCACGGCUAACUACGUG